GAUCACCACAGGGGCCCGAGCCACCUGGGACACGGGGUGGGGGUGGGGGUGAGUACCGAGGGCGGGGGAAGGAGAGACAGCCAAUCCACCCAGGCCUGGCUGAGGCCUGACGCCGAGUCCCACGAGGAUUGAAUUAUCCACACACAACCCCCAGCCCUGGAUAGGGAACCGCGAGGAAUGAGUGUACCUGGUGGCCGCGCCCCGCCUCUCCCCGCGCCUCUCGGCGCCGCGGGGUUCACACCCACGCACCUGCCGUCGGCUGCGCACGAAAGAAGAGCCGGGUUGCAAUCCUUGCUCGGCCGACUGCCCACGCGUAAAAAAUAGCGGUGGUCUCCAAAACCUAAAUGAGUUCUUGGAUUCUCGGAUUUGUUGCUGAGGACCCUGUAAAGCUCCGACAUCAAAUCACUGGCCUCCAAUGGACAAUACCAGCAUGCCGUCACUGGAAAGGAAGGAGACUCCUCAGUACCAACACCUAGGAUGUUCCAGGCAGUCUUUGCAUACUUUGCCAUUUCAUCUUUACGAUAUCCCUAUGAAGACCGCACUAUCUCCAUUUUACAAAUGGAAUAGCUGAGCCUUAAAAAGGUUAGGAAAUCCACCCCAAACCAUUCAGCUUUAAAAAAAAAAAAAAAAAAAAAAAAAAGUGGACAUAUUUGGAAAUAUUUGAAUUUAGGUUUAUCCUGUCGUGGGAGGAUGCGGGAAGAACAGACCUAGGAGUGACACAGAGACUGGUACAGUUGAGGGAAAUAGCCUGGAGACAGAUUGACGUGAAUUGCCAUGGAAAGGGCAGAAUCCAUGCAAAGCCACAGUGCGUGAGAUUCUAAACCAGAGGUGACUGGGAAUAGCUGUGCUCUUUGCCACCAGCCUCGCUAAAGGCUUAGGCAAGAUCCUUUUUUUUAGCGAAACAAGAAUUCGGAGAAAUAAACUAUUCAGGUGUUUUUCUUGAAGACUUUAACGAGCAUCCUUCAUUAGCAGUCGCUAUUGCUUCACUCCAGCCAUUUGACUCAUUUGGUUUAAUCAUUAAACAAUGCCAUUGAGAUUUCAGCGAUUUGCAGGUUGGAGCGUAUAUCCACCCAUAGCCACAGGAUGGCAGUGUUUCCCAACUGAUGAGAAGGUAUCUGCCUAGAAAGGGAAGCGACAUAGCUCAGAAGUCAUGAAACCUGAGGAUUAAAGAGUGGAGGCACUUUCAGCAGCACACCAUUGUGUUCUGUUCUAGGUUUUGGCGUAAAUGGUUUUUCUGCUGAAACGUCCUAGAACAGAGAACCAUGAAGGUUUGAGGCCCUGCCACAUACACUUUAGGAAAGAGGCCUCAGUGGAUUCACCAGCCAGGAGCUGUCCGUGGAAGCCACUGGAGUGGUGGCGCCUGCAGGUACUCAGCCACUAGGGAGGAACAACCGGUUGGUUUCUUGAGAAGGGCUGGUAAGGACUCUGCUCCUCUGUAAGUGGAACCCAGCCAGUCAAAAGGAAUGGCUCUCUCUGUGGUGAAGUGGAAAGACAGCCAGAGAGGAGACUAUUUCUGGGUUGUAGCAAACAGUGCUGUGUACUUUGGCAGAAUGUGAAAUCUAGAGCCAAGGGUGCUUGGUUGUGAAAGGGCAGGUUCCUCAUCUUCCUCAUGCUCACAGCCAGGGUUGAUGUGUGUUGCUCAUGGAGGUAAGGUAAUGAACACUGGAAAAAUGGAUCCCUAACAAGAUUUACCCAGCUUGACUUUCGCUUAGCUAUCCGAGUGCAAACAACUGUCUGUUUCCUUGUUUUUCAAGUGGUUAUAAUAACAGUUACCUGAUAGGGUUGUUGUAAGGAUUAAAUUCGUCAUGGUGUAUGCAUGUGUAAGUAAGAGACUUAGAACAGUGUCUGAAUAGGAUACGUAAUCGCCCUCAUGGUCACCACUGUAGCCCAGGGCAACUGGACGAGGCUCUACAGCAGUGCUUCCCUUUGCCAGGUGGCCAUUUCAGACUCAAAACUGCUCUAGUAACUCAAGGGCAAGGAACCACAUCAAUCCUGUGAGUUUUUGUAGAAUCACGUGGGUUAGAAAGUAUGAAUGUUUUUAAGAAAAUUAAAUGGAAAAUGUGGCUCCUUUUCUUUUGGGGGAGUGGUGGGAAGAAUGGAGCUCAUGAAACCCAGGCUGACUCCAAAUCACUAGGUAGCUAAGGAUGACUUCGAACUUAUGCUAUCAACCUGGUGCUGAGAUUAAAGGUAAUCAAUCCUUUUGCAUCCAUAUGUAAUCCCACCUCUGGCUUUUUCUCCUGCCAUAAUAAAUGUACAACCAUGUGUACUAACAGAA